UUCUGGUUGUGGGGCUCUCCUGCUGAUGAAGUGGGCUGGUCCCCUAGGAGGAUUCAGGGGCUCCAAGGAGAUACUUGGGGUGCAUUUCUAAUACCAUGAUUAAAGAGCUGUUACACGGCAGGCUUUGGUGAACAACCUCAGCUGAAAUGUGCCCCAACACGGAACCGUCUAUUUAAGGGAAGAAGCAAAGACUCACGUGGAAAAGAAUUCGCGAAAUCACCACCACGAGGCAGAAAGCCUGUUGACCAACAUUUUCCUUAAGCAGAAAUUUUCAAUAAAAACCAAGGACAGCAUUAAGAAAUACACUGCAGAGGAAUUCAAUGUCUAGAAACAAGGAGAGGGGCAUAGCUGAGCAUUUAAGAGCUGUUUUCUAAAAAGCAGCCUCAGUGGCUUCUUGCAUAUACAGCCUCCCUGUCUGCAACACCCAGAAAGAAACCCAGAUGCAGGACCUGCAUUCCAUUACCCAGGCUGCAAAGGCUCAUGGGUAGUAUUUCAGACAUUUUGAGAAUGAAAAAUGAAGAAAAAUGAGUUCUUUCUCAAUCUUUACAUCUCCUUCCACUACCCACGACUUUAUAUUUCUGCUUUGCAAAAACAGUUCCUAUAGACAGAAGAGACUUCUCAGAAGAAAAGGGUUGGUUUGUUGUUUUUUCCAGGGAAGACGAAGGAUUACAUCAAGGUAGAAGCCAGAUGCUUGGCAUCGGCUGGAGUGGGGUAAGAAGGAAGUAAUUACUUAGAACAUGUUCUUUGAAAAGUAACAAAUAAAACUUAUUAUUGCUAUCAUAUGA